UACGGAGGGGGCUAGCGUUGUUCGGAAUUACUGGGCGUAAAGGGCGCGCAGGCGGCUGCUCAAGUCAGGCGUGAAAGGCCUGGGCUCAACCCGGGAAUUGCGCUUGAGACUGGGCUGGCUUGAGUGCGGGAGAGGAUGGUGGAAUUCCCAGUGUAGAGGUGAAAUUCGUAGAUAUUGGGAAGAAUACCGGUGGCGAAGGCGGCCAUCUGGACCGUAACUGACGCUGAGGCGCGAAAGCUUGGGGAGCAAUCAGG
rnacentral:rRNA from 1 species